UACGAAGGGGGCUAGCGUUGCUCGGAAUCACUGGGCGUAAAGGGCGCGUAGGCGGCGUUUUAAGUCGGGGGUGAAAGCCUGUGGCUCAACCACAGAAUGGCCUUCGAUACUGGGACGCUUGAGUAUGGUAGAGGUUGGUGGAACUGCGAGUGUAGAGGUGAAAUUCGUAGAUAUUCGCAAGAACACCGGUGGCGAAGGCGCCCAACUGGACCAUUACUGACGCUGAGGCGCGAAAGCGUGGGGAGCAAACAGG
rnacentral:rRNA from 1 species